GACGAACGCUGGCGGCGUGCUUAACACAUGCAAGUCGAACGGAAAGGCCCUGCGUUUGUGGGGUGCUCGAGUGGCGAACGGGUGAGUAACACGUGAGUAACCUGCCCUUGACUUUGGGAUAACUUCAGGAAACUGGGGCUAAUACCGGAUAGGAGCUCCUGCUGCAUGGUGGGGGUUGGAAAGUGUCGGCGGUUGGGGAUGGACUCGCGGCUUAUCAGCUUGUUGGUGGGGUAGUGGCUGACCAAGGGUUUGACGGGUAGCCGGCCUGAGAGGGUGACCGGCCACAUUGGGCCUGAGAUACGGCGCAGAAUCGUACGGGAGGCAGCAGGGGGGAAUAUUGCAGAAUGGGCGGAAGCCUGAUGCAGAAACGCCGCGUGCGGGAUGCCGGCCUUCGGGGUGUAAACCGCUUUCGCCUGUGACGAAGCGUGAGUGACGGUAAUGGGUAAAGAAGCACCGGCUAACUACGUG
rnacentral:rRNA from 1 species